GUCUGCUUCUGGGCUACCGAUGGGCAGCCCAGAUGAUCUUUUCUGGAAGAAGAAAAAUCUUUCUCUGUGUUUCUUCAAGACUCUUCAUCUGUAUGCUAGAACUACCUCCCUCUGAGGUAUAGAUUUUUAGAAACGAAACCAAGAAGGUCAGGAAGGCACUUUCUGCUUCAGGCCCCACUACAUCCCUUUCCCACACAAUGAGCAUCAAGACAAUUACCUAUUUCAACAAGCCAUGGAUUUGGGGGCACAGCAGUGGAGGAUCCAAUCCAGUUUGGAGAGAGAGAGGAAGAUUUCACAGAACAAGUCAUGUCUGCUUCCUGAAGCAUGAACUAGAAUGUGCCUGAUGGGUAAGAGAGCUUGGAGGCUGGGGAGCUUUCUGUAGAGAGCUCACCUGAGGGAUCAUCGAUCUGGUGUAAUGAGUCCAGCCCAGAGUUAGGUCUAGUCACUGUUGCAGUCACCCCCAAAGAAGGUAAUGGCGUCCAGAGGGAAAAUGGAUUUCAUUUGUGUAUUGGUCUGGGCAUUUCUUUCUGCCAUAACAAAUAAAACCGAAACUUUCGUUA